rnacentral:misc_RNA from 1 species
GAUGAAGAACGUAGCGAACGUGCGAAACGUAAUGUGAAUUGCAGAAUUCAGUGAAUCAUCGAAUCUUUGAACGCAUCUUGCGCUCCUUGGUAUUCCGAGGAGCAUGCCUGUUUGAGUGUCGUGAAUACUCUCAACUUCAACCCUUUUUUCGGAAAGGGAGGAAGGUUGGACUUGGGUGUUUGUUGAAGUGCGAGCUUCGACUCAUCCUAAAUGCAUUAGCGAUCUGCCUCGAUCACACACAAUGUGAUAAUUAAAACUAAAGCAUUGUUUAAUGAUCAAGUCGAGACUGCUUCUAACUGUCGCAAGACAAUAACGUGCAUACAUUUGUGCAUGUCAUUUGACCUCAAAUCAGGUAGGACUACCCGCUGAACUUAAGCAUAUCAAUAAGCUGAGGA